GAAUCGAAGAUGAAUACAAACCGUGAUGGGCAUAGAUGUAAGCAGUCCUCAAGGAGUAGAUAUGAUCCCCAUGUUUCAAACUUGAUCUGUCGAUCCUGUUCUAACACAAGAGAUAUACAAAUUUGAGAUAACGUAAGAUGAUAAACAAGUUCUCUGGAAAACAAAAGAGAGAGGGAGAAGACGAAACCUGUUGGAGAGAAGACCCAUCGGAUGAAUGAUCUCCUGACGUCACAGAAGAGACGAAGCUGUGACACUCUUUAUUUAUCUUCAAAGAAAUUAAAUCAGAGCAUGACUUGAGAGAAGAGCCAAUAGCUUUUAUUCUGCAUUUAGACAAAGAAAUCUGAAACCAAUGAUUAGACAAGGAUCAGUUUUAGUUGUGAAUCCAAAACAGGAGCAAAAAUUUCUCACUCUCACUAGUAGAUUCUGUGAUACCGCUACUAUUGAAGAGCUUGAACAUAUACGUCUCCUCAUCAAAUUCGGAGGAAAAUCAAAAGAUAAAUGAAAUCAAAUCAACGAAUUCAGGGGAUAUGAAGAUGUUCACGUUCAAGAAGUUUGUUACCUUGGGAGAUAUAUCAUAGACAUUGGAGCCGUG
rnacentral:lncRNA from 1 species